ensembl:lncRNA
GCAGCGUCCAGCGCCGGCCGCAGCCCCCGAGAGCGGACGGGGAGGGCUCCAGCGGCAGAGCCGGGGCCCAGGGCAGCGCCAUGAGCCAACGAGACGAGGCCGAAGGGAAGGAGGACGAUGUCAGCAGCAUCAUGAAGAAGUACCUGGGCAAGGACUAAGGAUUUGUUUCCAUCAAGAGCAGGAGCUGUCCCCGACCCGCAGUGAUGAGGAGCCACGUUGGGCACACGGCUUCCCUGCUCCUGGCAGAACCACCUCACGUGAGCAGAGACCUCAAAUGGCUCCACAAAAGUCACAAACUCUUUUUGGCCUUGCACACACCGUGGUUUCCUUGUGCUCCUGCCCCGUUUCCCAGCGCAGCAGCUUUGCUCAGGGCCAGCCGCAGGGACAAGGACUUUCCUGUUCUCCUGCAGUUGUUUGACUUGGGAGUUGGUGCUUUAAUUAAAACCCAGCGGCUGCCACAGAUGCUGAGGAUGUGCCAUGGCCUGGGAAAGGCCACUCUGAGAGGAGCUGGAGGGACACCAAACCCCUCCUUUGUAACCCAGAGCUGCAGCCCAGGUGUCUCAUCCCACAUUGCACUGCUCAAAAAUCCGCUGAUCUUCGAGGAUGCUCUUGGGUCUCAGUGUGACACCCAGCAACAGCAGAGCUCUGAAGCUUUUAUAAUUCCACAGGACACAAAGGAAAUUGCUCUGUCACUUGGAAUGGCUGUGCACAUCCUUUAAUGACAAACCAGGACAAAACGAUGCUUGGCCUGGAGCGUUUCAGGCUGAGUCCAGAGAAUUGUUUGCCCUUGGAGCAGCCAGAGAGCAAAGCUCAUGGAUGGUGAGGCUGAGCCAUCCAUCAGUGCUGGCCAGCAGAAAAUAUGGCACAGGAGAGAAAGCUCUGGUUCCCUGCUCCCCCCGGGAUGCUCAGGAGACACAAAACUGAUGGCUGAGCCAGCCAGGAGCAGGACCACGGCCAUUUAUAGCCUGGAGUGGGAGGACAGGAGUUAUUCCCUUUGCUCCUGUGUUUUAGCACAUUCACCUGCUCUCAGCACAGCAGCUUUGCCCUGUGCUGCUGGCAGGGAUGGAGCCUGUGGGGAGGGAGGUGUGGAGGCUCCAUGUCACCCCUGGAGAAGGGAGAGUGCUGCCAGUCAGCUGGGAUCCCUCAGCUGAGUGCACCUCAGAGCUGGGAUCAGCAGGAAUGGGAGGGCAAUGCUCCUGGAGCCCAGCACUCCUGUGCCCACAUCCCUCCCUCUGCAGGAGAUGCAGACCCUGGCAAAGGGAAGUGGCUCCACAUCAUGAGCAAAAGUACCAAGAAACGAGACUGCCAAGUCUCUAAUUAGCAUAAUUAAAGCGUGCUCUUUUCUUCCUCUGGAUGUGCCUGUGGAAAGCCUUCCUCAGAGGAGUGAUCUCUCUGAGAGCUCCUUCUUUGCAUGAUGCCCAUCACUCAGGAUUGAGUGUCCAGAGCCAGCCACUCCUGGAGCUGGGACCAGCUGCUUUCCUGGCAGCACUUCCUGAGGCUCAUCACAUCCAUCUCUCACAGAGAAUCCAGAGCAGUGUGGCUGAGCUGGGCUGGUGCAAUUCCCAAUCCCUGCUGAGGUGGGAACCAGGGCUGGAGACCUCCCUGGUCUCCCCAUCAGUCCCCUGAACCACGGCACCUUUUGCAGGAGCUGAGCAUCAAGGGGAUCACAGAAUUCCUGAGUUGGAAAGGACCCACAGGGGUCAUCAAUCCAACCCCUGG